GAUACAGACUUGUUAACACAAGGGCUAUGAGGGUGGGAAGGUAUAAGAACAGCUAGUUUUCUUGUAUGCUUGUGCAAGGCUAUUUUUUUGUUUGUUUGUUUGUUUUGGCUUUUUCUGAGAUGGAGUCUUGCUCUGUCACCCAGCUGGAAAGAGGUAAAGCCAAGAUUCAGAGUCAGCAACGUCUGACUCUAAAGACAAUAGUCUUUUUUGUUGUUGUCGUUAUUGAUGGAGAUUCAGGCAUCCCAGGCUGUGGAGAGGAUACCUAUCUAUGAAGGCUGAAAACCACUUGGCCGGGUAUUACUUGCCAUUUUUCACAGUGCUCCCCAACCUCAGUGGUAAGCUUAUAGGCAUUGAAAUACAUUGCUUCAUAAUUCACAUGCUAGGCAUUAAGUGUGCCUGAGAAGAUAUGCCUGGAAUUCCCCACCACAUUCAGGAAUAUUUCACCUGUGUGAAAUGACACUGUGAGUGUCCUCAGAACAAUUAUUUCUAUAAAAUGAUGUAACUGAAAUGUGGCCUUUUAAAAAGGAAUGUGAUCAGGCUGAAUUUGGAUACAGUUAUUUGAGACACUGAAUCAUCCAACUUUUAUUAGAUCCAGGAGAUGGUCACCAUAGUUUUCUGCCUGGGAAUUUAUGAUCAAGUUUUGGAUUUUUCCCCCUCAUUCUGGAGGAAAAAAAGGGGUUAAUCUGUAGAUAAUGUGUCCCCAUCCAUGUGAAUUAUGUGUUAAAUCUAGAAGAAGGAAAUCAGCAACGUACACAGCAGACCCAACACUGGGGAAGGCAGAUUCCCCCUCCUCAACUUUCCCUGCAGGUUUUUGACUCCAUUUUAUCUUGGAAGGCAAUUAACUAAGCAUCAAAGCCCAAAGUGACAAGACCCUAAUAAUAACUAUGGGAAAGACAUGGUAUUGUGCAGUAGCUAAGAACUUGGAGUGUCUGAAUUUAUAUUUAUGCUCAUUUUAUCAUUCAUUUAGCAGACACUUAUUAUAUACCUACUAAGUACCAGGCACUGUUUCGUA
rnacentral:lncRNA from 1 species